rnacentral:rRNA from 1 species
CGCUGGCGGCAGGCCUAACACAUGCAAGUCGAGCGGUAGAGAGGUGCUUGCACCUCUUGAGAGCGGCGGACGGGUGAGUAAUGCCUAGGAAUCUGCCUGGUAGUGGGGGAUAACGCUCGGAAACGGACGCUAAUACCGCAUACGUCCUACGGGAGAAAGCAGGGGACCUUCGGGCCUUGCGCUAUCAGAUGAGCCUAGGUCGGAUUAGCUAGUUGGUGGGGUAAUGGCUCACCAAGGCGACGAUCCGUAACUGGUCUGAGAGGAUGAUCAGUCACACUGGAACUGAGACACGGCCCAGACUCCUACGGGAGGCAGCAGUGGGGAAUAUUGGACAAUGGGCGAAAGCCUGAUCCAGCCAUGCCGCGUGUGUGAAGAAGGUCUUCGGAUUGUAAAGCACUUUAAGUUGGGAGGAAGGGCAUUAACCUAAUACGUUAGUGUUUUGACGUUACCGACAGAAUAAGCACCGGCU